CCGACCCUGAGCGCCAUGUGGCGCAGCAGCCCCGAGCGGGAGCUGGCGGCCAGCUGGGCGGCGGACGCGGCGGCGGGCAGGGCGCCAGCGGCGGAGGCGGAGGAGCCGCCGGCCGUGGACGCGGGCGCGGCCGGGGAGCCCGAGCGCCCGGCGCGCGAGGAGCAGCCCAAGGCCGAGCUGCAGGCCCCGGCGCGACCCCGCGCGGCCGAGGAAGGCGAUGCCCGCGUCGCCCGGCGCCUGCCGCCCGCGCUGCCCCUGGCCCCGGCACGGCCGGCGGCGCGGGCCCUGUGCCAGCUCGCCAAGGCCCGGGGCCGGGGCCGCGGCUACCGACGCGGCUCGGGCUCGCUGCGGCCGGUCACCGUGGACAGCUCCAAGGCUCGCACCUCCCUGGACGCGCUGAAGAUCAGCCUUCGCCAGCUCCGGUGGAAGGAGAUGUCUUGCGAGUCACUGAAGCACUCCCAGGAGGGGGUUCCCCUUUACUCUGCUGAGGAUUUUGCGGGGAGGUGUCCGCUUUCUAAGUUCCCAUUUGGCCGGCGCUUGCCUUGUGACAUCUACUGGCACGGAGUUUCAUUUCACGACAAUGACAUACUCUCCGGUCAAGUGAACAAAUUUCCAGGCAUGACGGAGAUGGUGCGGAAAAUCACUCUGAGCAGAGCACUGAGAAUCAUGCAGAACCUGUUUCCAGAGGAGUACAACUUCUACCCUCGCUCGUGGAUUCUGCCUGAGGAGUUCCAGCUCUUUGUCGCUCAGGUCCGGAUGGUGAAAGAUGGUGACCCAUCCUGGAAGCCCACUUUUAUUGUGAAACCGGACGGUGGUUGUCAGGGUGAUGGAAUCUACCUCAUUAAAGAUCCCAAUGACAUCCGCCUGACUGGGACCCUCCAGAGCAGGCCGGCAGUGGUCCAGGAGUACAUUUAUAAGCCUCUCCUUAUUGACAAGCUCAAGUUCGACAUCCGUCUGUACGUCUUGUUGAAGUCAUUGGACCCCUUAGAGAUUUAUAUAGCCAAAGAUGGACUCUCUAGAUUUUGUACAGAGCCAUAUCAAGAGCCGAACCCCCAGAAUCUGCACCAUGUCUUUAUGCACUUAACCAACUACUCGCUGAACAUCCACAGUGGCAAGUUCAUCCACUCUGACAGCGCCAGCACAGGCAGCAAGAGGACUUUUUCGAGCAUCCUCUGCAGACUCUCCUCUAAAGGUGUGGACAUCAAGAAGGUCUGGUCUGACAUCAUCUCCUUGGUGAUCAAGACGGUCAUCGCCCUGACCCCAGAGCUCAAAGUUUUCUACCAGUCAGACAUCCCUACAGGGAGGCCAGGGCCCACCUGCUUCCAGAUUUUAGGCUUUGACAUUCUUCUGAUGAAAAGCCUGAAACCUAUGCUACUUGAAGUGAAUGCAAACCCCAGCAUGAGAAUUGAGCAUGAAUACGAACUCUCUCCAGGGGUGUUUGAAAAUAUCCCCAGCCUGGUGGAUGAGGAGGUGAAGGUGGCCGUGAUCAGAGACACGCUGCGCCUCAUGGACCCUCUGAAGAAGAAAAAGGAGACACAGUCUCAGCAUCCCGAAAAGCCUAUCACUGGGAAGGAAGAUCUGGACUGUGAGAUGACCGGUGACCCCGACUCCAACCCUGAAGCCCACCUGCCCUCUAUUUGCCUCAAGCAGGUGUUCCCCAAGUAUGCCAAGCAGUUCAACUACCUGCGCCUGGUAGACAGGAUGGCUAAUUUGUUUAUCCGUUUCCUGGGAAUCAAGGGGACAAUGAAGUUGGGACCGACUGGCUUUCGGACCUUCAUAAGGAACUGCAAGCUGAGCAGCAGCAGCCUGUCCAUGGCUGCAGUGGACAUCCUCUACAUCGACAUCACAAGGAGGUGGAACUCCGUGACCCUGGACCAGCGGGACUCAGCCUUCCCCAUGUUGGAGUUUGAACCUAUGGUCUUGUACAUACUGGGGAUGUGUCUCCAGGCAUUUGUUGAAGCUUUCUUCUUCCUGGCCCAGAGGAAGUUCAAGAUGCUGCCUCUGCAUGAGCAGGUGGCCUCCUUGAUCGACCUGUGUGAAUACCACCUGUCCCUGCUGGACGAAAAGCGCUUAGUGUGCGGCCGGCGCAGGCGCCCCCAAAGCAGUCCUCCCCAGGAGAUGAACGCCAGAACCCAGUCAGCUGCAGGCAGCCUUGCGCCCCGCAUGAUCGGUGCUAACAAGCUGCCUCACUCUAGACACGCUCUGUCCUGAAGACCACCCUACCCUCCUGGAAGAAGGUGUGCUCUUGGGGGCUCAGCACCCCGGGCUCCCCCGAUCUGUGGGGAACCACUAGGGUUCCAGCUACAAUGGCCAGGAAUCCUCUGUGUUCUGCAGGACUCUCGCCUCACAUGGCCAGUUCUUGCCCACCCUCCUCCCGGCAGCUCGUGGUGACCCACCCUGCUUGUGAGUCACCAGUGGAUAUAUGACAUCUGAGAUGUGACAGAUGGCACCUACUGUUCCAGGUUCCUGGGAAGCACCAACUGGGGCACUUCUGCUGUACUUGGGGCCACAGGGAGCAGAGCAUGGGAGAAAGGAUAGACCAUUUCAAAGCAAGGAACUGUGGCUGCGAGGUCACACUUGGGGUCUGCUGGGGCCUCUGCGAGCCUGCUGGUCAGAGCUCAGGAUCUCAGCAGCUCUUUCCACCUACCUGUUCUCUGAGAGAAGCAGAACUAUCAAGAUGGUGGACACCCCAAUCAUGUGCUAUAUGGGUGUACUUAACAGAUUAACCUCACUUAUUUCAUUAACUUGCCUGUUGCAAUGUUUGAUUUAUUACUAUUGAAGAAAUAAUUAAGAAGUAAUGGGUUCUUCAGUCUUCCCGUCCAGCUUCCAGGGGACCCCAGCAAAGGUGGGGUGCUGACCCAAUGGCCAAGAGCCACUGUGUACCCACCCAGCACUGUGCUGUCAGCUCCGGGAGAGGGGAGGGUUCAGAGGGAGAACGCAAGGCCCAGAGAGGCAGGGCAAGCACAAGUGUGUGGAGAGGUGUGGGGUUCUAGACCAGAGCAAUCAGUGUUCUCAAAUGGUCUGCUGUGGGGAUCCUUGUUGGCCAACCGGGAGCUGUACAGGGCUAUUAAACAGAGCUUUGACUUGAUACUUUUUCUCAAAAUGAGUCUUCACAAAGUGCUUGCCAGCACGGAGCAGAGAGGAAAUGGGCACAUUUUUAUAUUACCACGUUGAGGUAAUACAAAAAAUGUCAGCAUUCGUGGUGAGAGAUGGCCUCUCUACGACGCCUGUCAUCUAGAGCAGAGAUCAUGUCAGAGUGGACCCAAAGAGCCUGGCUUGAGACUUGGCACCUGGGAAGUGUCUUCACAAACGUCUGCUGAGGAAGGUAUGGUCUCCAUAUGCUGAAAGCCACAGAUGCCCACAGAUGCCGGGGAAACACUGCUCCAGGCCAUGAGCCCUGGCAGGGGAGGCUCCUGGAAGUCUGCUGAGACCUCGGCUCCCCUCCCCCUGCCACUCCCACCUCUUAAGCCUUUCAAAAUUCUUUAUUAAAUUUUCAUGGCGCAUGUAUUCAAGGCUCUGUUACAGCCUCAGUUGUCUUGGUAACUUCGUAAAAUGCAAUAAUAAAAUGAAGCUGAGUGUCACUAA